GAGGACUGCAGUCAGCGAUUUAAACCUCCCGGCCACUUUUUCUUUACAGCCGCGUUUCCCCCCGGGCAGGAAGGGCUUCUGCCCUGGCCUUUGUAGCCAGUUUUAAGUUUUAUCGGCUAGUUCAUACUUGCAUAGAAAGAGUGGUCGUUUGCUCUGAGUCAUCACUGUGUAGUAUUGGGGAUACUUAGGUGAGAAAAAAAAAAACAACGCUAGAGACGUGCAUGCACUAGUGGAGAAGUCAGGAUUGUUGCCCUAGAGUUACAGUAGAUAAAAGUACCAUGAGAGAACUGCGGGGGCUCCCAACCUGGAUGCCUGCACCGGAGUAUUAAAUCCAGCUAGAGAAUGGCAUGUGCAAAGAUACAGAGCUACGGUCAAAUGGGCAGCUGAAGAUGAUGAUGAAGAUGAUCUUGACACCGAGAAGCAGAAUACCAAUGAGGAUGACCAGACAGCAAAAAA